AACGAACGCUGGCGGCGGGCCUCAUACAUGCAAGUCGAGCGCGAAAGUCCGCAAGGAUGAGUAAAGCGGCGCACGGGUGAGUAACACGUGGGUAAUCUACCUUUUGGAUUGGAAUAACCUGUCGAAAGACGGGCUAAUGCCGAGUAAGCCUUCUUGAACGUGAAGUUCGAGACGGGAAAGAUGGCGCAAGCUAUCGCCGAAAGAUGAGCCUGCGUCCCAUUAGUUAGUUGGUGGGGUAAUGGCUUACCAAGACAAUGAUGGGUACCUGGUUUGAGAGAAUGAUCAGGCACACUGGAACUGAAACACGGUCCAGACUCCUACGGGAGGCAGCAGUAGGGAAUAUUGCGCAAUGGACGAAAGUCUGACGCAGCCACGCCGCGUGAGUGAGGAAGGCCUUCGGGUUGUAAGACUCUGUCGGCUGGGAAAAACGGACGUAUCCGGGAAGUCGGGUAGCGUGAUGGUACCAGCAAAGGAAGCACCGGCAAACUACUGUGCCAGCAGCCGCGGU
rnacentral:rRNA from 1 species